CUGAAAUCCCAGCCUGUUUCUCUAAGAAGCCUGGAGAAUCCACGCCAAGGGUCAAGACAACCUGUUCUCAGAGAAGAAGGCCUGGGGAGAAUCUUAACUCACCCACUGCAGUGCCCAAGAGAGGGCGGAGGAGAGGGCUGUCCUCGUCAGAGGGCGCUGAUGUGGCCAAACCGAGCGGCUGAGUGCAGACGUGGGUUUGCUGAGUAAUGCAGGCUGGUAGAGGGCUCACCCCAGUGCUGUCUUCAUUACGCACCUAUGGCUCCUCUGAUUCCUGGCAUCAUUUCCAAACAGCACUGUGCGCAGAAGGCCAUCCAAGGAUUUCAAACAUGGUGCUAAGUCUCAGAGGCUCCCUUCAUCACAGGAUGCAGUCUGAGUGCUUUUACACCGACUGCCUCCUGCUCCCAGCCACGGAUCAUUGCACCAGAGUAGCUGUUUUCAUGGACUGAACCAACCAGCGACUUUCUCAUCAAAUUACUUGAGAACGGAGCAGAAGUGUGAUGUGCCAUUUCAAGUCCAGGACUCUGGUGAUCUGGAAUGCUUCUGCUCUUCUCUGAGGAUCCCUUGCCUCAGCCAUGGGAGCAAGACUGCUACAGGAAGAGCGAAUAAGCCCAGGCUAGUCUGCAGAGGAGAACCGAUUCAUCCCAUCAGCCACCAGCUGCCUCUACAGUAAGCCCAGCUGAGUUCAGACAAGACUGGCCUAAGUCAUCAGAAUCCCCCAUCUAACCUACAGACACAUCAGUAAUAAGAAACGGGUUGUUGUUUGAAGCUACUAAAACUGGGAGAUUCACACAGCAUUACUGUUGCAAUAGAUAACUGAUAUGGACAGUUGGCUCAGAUGGCUGAGAAACAAAUGAGAGAUGAGUUCCUAGAUGCUACGGGAGUGGAAAGGAGGAAUUCAAGAGAGUCUAUCCUCCUUAUUAAAGUUUCACGUGAGGGAAAACAAGGCCCUUUCCUCCUUUGAUUUACACACACUAAAACUGCUUUUCAUUUGUUUCUUCCUGGAGUUCACUUGGGGACUAGAAGCAGGAAUGGACUCCAGCGUAAUAUUUUCCUGAGUGGAAAUAAUUAAUCCAAUGCUUCCCGAAAUAAGGAAGCCAUCCGAGACCUAUUUUUUGAACCUGCUUGAUGGAUCUGGUAUUUGUAUUCUGGAUGCUAGUUUCAGGAAGAAGUUAUGGGCCUGGUGGAAAAGAUCACUUGAGGAAGGCUGUAUUUGGAACAUCAUAACAAAAACAAAGAUAAGAGCCAAUCUGACCCUGCAGUUUUGACAGAAGCGGAAGUGAGAAACCAGGUCAGGAACUGCAGACUGGAAUCUGACGGAGGAGGAGCAUGGUGCCAUGACGAUCAGCUGGAGGCACCCUGAAGGCCUGGAGGCAGGGCUGUCAUUCAGCACCUUCUGAGCACGUUUCUGUCUGCCUCUGAUGGAUCUGGCCUUAGUCCUGGCACUUCCUCGUAAUCAGGCUUCAUCCCUGGGCCUGAUUCAGGCUAAUGUGGGAAUUGCCCCAAAGCACACUUCAGAAUUAUCCUUAACAAAGAUGAGGAAGGUGGUUUUCCUGGUGGUCCAGUAGUUAAGAACUCACUUUGCAAUGUUGGGGACAUUGGUUUGAUCCCUGGUCUGGGCAGAUUCCAUGUGCUGCAGGGCAACCAAACCCAUGCGCUACAACUACUGACCCCACACGCCCUAGAGCCUGUUCUCUGCAACUAGAGAAAGCCCCUUGCACCGCAACAAAGACCCAGCACAGCCAAAAAUAAAUAAAUAAUUUAAAACAAAUAUGAGGAAGGAGGUCAGAGGGAUUGCUCCACCCCUGAAAUGUAUCCACCACUCUAAGCCCAGCUCAAAUCUCACUGCUACCCUGGCUUCCUAACUGGAAGGACUCUCUCCCUCCUCUGAAUCUCACUGACAGUCCCUGAGGGCUACCGGGCACACAUCUCUGCUAGCCCGACAUGUAACACAGGCGUUCUGUAACUUCCCAAAGCUUGAAAAUUGUCUUUGUUUUUUCAGGUGCAAAUGCUCAGCAUUUAAACUGGCUGCGUAAACUUUCUUCUUUAUUUG
ensembl:lncRNA